GACGAACGCUGGCGGCGUGCUUAACACAUGCAAGUCGAACGGAAAGGCCCUGAUUUUGCGGGGUGCUCGAGUGGCGAACGGGUGAGUAACACGCGAGUAACAUGCCCUUGACUUUGGGAUAAAUUCAGGAAAAUGGGGCUAAUACCGGAUAGGAGCUCCUGCUGCACGGUGGGGGUUGGAAAGUUUCGGCGGUUGGGGCUGGAAUAGCGGCUUAUCAGCUUGUUGGUGGGGUAGUGAAUUACCAAGGCUAUGAAGGGUAGCAGGCCUGAGAGGGUGACCGGCCACAAUGGGACUGAGAGACGGCCCAGACUCCUACGGUAGGCAGCAGUGGGGAAUAUUGCACAAUGGGCGGAAGCCUGAUGCAGCAGCGCCGCGUGCGUGAUGACGUCCUUCUGGUUGUGAACCGCUUUCUCCUGUGACGAAGCGUGAGUGACGGUAAUGGAUAAAAAAGCACCGGCUAACUACGUG
rnacentral:rRNA from 1 species